rnacentral:lncRNA from 1 species
GAGAAAACGAAGUUCCAUCUGAAGACGCCCUAAUACUACAGCUGCACCUUGCAAAAGGACACGAGAAAUUUACUGAAAUGCUAAAAAGCCAGCAGCAAAUCAUUGUGGAUUUGCAGCAAAAACUUGCUGAACAGCAGCACAUGCUGGUUAGCCAGCAAAAGGAGAUUCUUGAACAGCAAAGAAAAAUGUAUGAGCAAAUGGAUCUGAUCAAAGUCCAGUAUGGCAUGCUUUUUGACACAGUGAAACAAAUGUCAUUUCAGAGUUUGCAAGAAGAUAUUCAAAAUUAUUUUGAAAGUCAUCUUCAAGGACUUCAGAACCAGGUCAGGAAUCAUCUCCAGAAGUCAUACUCUGUCCAUAAAGUAGAAGUGGAUGCAAAAGUGAUUAAUGUUGGGGAGUCUUUGCUGGACUGUGGUCUUUGUGAAAGUGAUGAAUUUUGCAAUUUCCAAAAGACACCUUCACAAUGUGAAAAAUGUACAUUGUGUCCUGCUGGUUUUUUCCAAAUGGCUGAGUGUUCUGCAAACUCUGAUCGGAUUUGCCAGGACAGAGAUGAAUGUACUGAAUCUCCAAGCAUUUGUGGUGAGAGGAUAAAGUGUCUGAAUACUCCAGGUGGCUUCCGAUGCCUCGGAAUUGCUGAGAAAGAUGCCGCUUUGGGAUUGUGUGGCGAGGAGUAUUUCUUUAAUAAGGAAAUGCAGGAAUGCCAGGCAUGUUUGAAAUGUGAAGAUGGAAUGGUGGCCAUGCCUUGCUCCACUGUCAGUGAUACAGUUUGUUCAGCAACCAGUGAAAACAAGCUCUCAGAGUCUUGGGCUGCAAACAUCAUUUUACCAUCUGUAAAGUCUGGCAUCUCUCAGGUCUACUCUGGCUUGAACUUGAAGAUAAGGGAAAAGCUUCACCGUGAAAUCCUGUCCAUUGAAGAUACCAGCCUGGUAUUCAGGCAGCAUGGUCUGUUGUGGACUGACCUAAAUUUUGCAGUAAAACACAACUGCAGGAAUUUUUUGCAACUUUCUUUAAAGCUAAAUGGCAGCGAGGAAGGCUACGAACUGAGUGGUGUUCGCAUUGAACAACCAGAAGGAAAAUAUUUCCAGAGCACUAGUUUAAGCAGUGCUGCUGAAGUGGAACCCAGCCAAACUCUUUCUGUGUUUUUAAGGAGCCCAAAUCAGUUCUGCAAUCAAAGCAAAGACUUACAUAUUUAUGAUCUUAACACACCACUAAGUUUGUUUUGGUUGUCUCAUGACACGGGUGCUGUGGCAAUUAGUGCACAGAUGUCAACAGCAAUGCAUUACCAAACCAACUAUCGACCUACCUUUAAAAUAAUUUCUGUUUCCGACCCUUACAUGCUAAGUUUAUCUCACGAUGGCAGAGCUAUAAAGUUCACUGAAACCGGUGUUGUCAAAUUUGUGUUCCACCAAGCAUUGUAUUCCAUGGGUCAUACGUGUGUCCGGGAGGGUUUCUCUUUAAUUUCUUAUAUAAACAGGAAUGGCAGCAACAGAGAAUUAAUGAAUGUAUUUAAAUCUGGGGUAAACUACAGAGACACGUCAAUAUCUGCUUCUGGGGCCACAAAAGUUGCUGCUGGAGAUCUGAUUAGCUUUGAGAUACUUUCUCCUGCACAAUGUAAUGUCCGGUAUUUUGGAGAUAGUUCUGGAAUUAGUAUUUUUAGCCUCAUCUGGAUACCUUCAGCAGUUUCUAGUGCCAUAUCAGCCACAGUUUCUGUUACUGCUCUGCCUACUGGAGCUGUGAGAAACAAAUUACUGGAUUUCACCCAGAUCUCAUCCAGUGAGAAACAGAUACAGCUGGUUUCUUCUGGACAGCUUGCUCAGAAGUACUUCGUUUUUACUGAAAAGGGAGUUGCCAGCCUUGCAUUUAACUUAAAGCUAAUCCAUUCAUGCAACAUGCUUAAAGUGACUCUCAACCGGUUGACCAUGGAUCACAUGCAACCCACAGCAAUUGCUCAGCAGAUUGGAGGUCAGAUGCCAGAGGGAAGCAUAUGGACCAGUGUGUCCCUCCGUGCAUCUUUUGAUGUACAUAACGGAACGCUGAUAUCAGUUUCUCUUGACUGUGUGCGUGGAAGGAUCAAUCAGAUCACUCAUGAACAUGGAACCAGUAUAUCUAUUUUAUGGAUUUCAUCUUAAUUUCUGUACAGUGGUGUUAGCACAGGACUGGGGUUUAAAUUGGAUUUGGAUUCUGCUCUGAUUCAAUGUCUGUAUUUGACACCUUACUGUGUGUUGACAUGAACAUACCAUCCUGCUAAAAUGCUCUCAAUUUUAGGAAUAUUUAAAGGUAAUCUUAAUUAAAUGAUCAGUAUUUAAAGAAAAGAGCUGUCAUUGUUCCAAGACAUUACUUCUGUUACCAUCUUCAGGCAGGGGAACCACGAAUUCAGCUCAAACUUAUUUUUAAAAAAACUGUCUUUUAAAAACAGUUAUUUCUGGACCACAAAAAUUGCAGUGAGGAUAAAUACAUACCUUUUAGUGCUGGCACUGAAAGCAGCACAGCCAAGUAAUGAAAACCUGCUUUCACUUUCUUCACUGCAGCAGGCUAACAAGAAGACUAAAUGCACUUUGAUGCUAAUUUGUCUACAUCUUAUAAAAUGUUGUGCUUUCUAUAAGUGCCUCAAACAUGCCACAGGCUAGAAGUGAUAAUAUGGUAAAAUUCAAGUAUACAUGCACAGUAUUCUUGAAGUGGAGCUAGGUCAAAAAUAGAACAUUGUUUUUACAAAAUAUAAUAAUUGUGCUCAACAAAAUCAUUGGAACUAAUGGUCAUUCUACUUUAAUUUGGAAAUUGUCUGCUUUUAAGUAAUUUGGGAAGGCUUUUUCCUUUUUUUUUUUUUUUUUUUUUUUUUGCCAGUGAAAGGUUGCAUGAUAAGAAGGAAUGGAGUAUGAAAAGAAUGUCUUAGAAAUUAAACUUUUUGAAUGAAACAAAUAUUUAUUCCGUUUAUUACAAAUGACAAGAUAUUUUCCUGACCAAAAAGGAACACCAUUCACAAGCAUAUUUAUUUUGCUGAAUGCUUAUUUUUAAAAGUUUUUUGGGGGAUUAAAUCACUCAGUUAAUUCUAAAAAGAAACAAUGUAUUCAAUGACACUGAUUUUUGUCUUCUACCAACUCUUCCAUCAAACUGCUCUAUCUGAUCGGUGAAGAGCAUUUCCUCUCAUUUUCUCCUUUCUCCAUCAAUACUGCUUCACUCUCCAUUCUUAUCUCUUUUGUUAGGAGCAAAUAGCAUGCUCUGGCAUCUGGCUUGACUCUUUCCAGACAUCCCUCACCAUUCCUACUAAAGAGUGGGUGUUUGUCACACACGUAACUAUGGGAGAGGGACAUUAAAUGGGGCCCUCACAGGCUGCCUUACAUCAACCUUCUUGAGAGCAAGACUACUGUGCAUGAUACAGCUUUAUUGUAGGUGUCUGCCUGAGCAUGUAUAUCUAAAUACAUGCUCUUUCCUGUGCGCUUCACCUAUUCUAGAGUUUGUUAGAAUUUUCUGUAAAAGCAAGAACCUUAAUGCUAGACUUCUAUCUGCUGGUUCCAUUUUUCCUGGUGAUUUUCUAAUUCUGUCAUUACCACCUGUGGUUACCUUUCCCACAUCCUUUUUCUUCAGGUUUAUAUUCAAAGAUGUGCAGGCUUUGGACAGAUUGUUCUCCUGCUCCGAAUGGAGAACACUGGUUUUCCUUGCUUUCAGCAGUAAGGUCCAAGCAGCCCAUCACAAGAUACCUCACUGGAUGCUGUGUUGAGGCCAGCAUAACUGUGCAAACUGUAGUAAGUUCAGUCCUGGUGUCACUGAAGUCUGUGACAGAGGGCUUCGUGCCUUUGUCAUUCAUUCUUUCAGGGACAUAAGGGAAGGACGGAUUAAAGCUAAUACUGAAAAUGUUCAACAUUUGCAAAAUACUGGUAUUGUUACAGAUUAUAUUUUAUAGUGAUAAAAGAAGACGUCUGAGAUUAGAGUGCUUGAAGGGCUGCCUUACCAAAGAACAGAACAGUUUUUCUGAUUUCUUUACCCUGGGAGUCUAGUGAGACUCAACAAAGAUUAAAUACCAUAGGGGUUGUAGUUUUCUGAUCUGCCUGACUGCUUAAUAAGGCAAACUAAUCAAAUCAUUCCUAGGAGGUAUCAAAGCCAUCAUAUCUUCUCUAACAAACCCAACCCUACAAAGAGGUGAUUUUGUGAGGAGUGGGUCAAAGUGCUUCUUCCUCUCAGAAGGCAGCUCGUUGCUGUAUAAGGGAUGCAUGUUCUGUAAGAGGAGCUCUGCAGAGGGCAGGACAAGGUAUUUCUAAGAUAAAACUCCAUCAGAAUACAAUGUUAGAGAAGGCUUGAAAUGAUAUGCUUAUACUUUUGUUUUAGAAAAAGUUAAGAAAGUCACUUUCUCACAGAUGUAACCCCUUAUUUUUCUUUGCUGCUUUGCCAUAUGCAGUUGUUUCAAAGGCUGUCAGCCCCCAAUAUAAUAAAAACUUGAGUCAUUCUCGAUUUAAACCUGUG